UUACGACUCUCGGCAACGGAUAUCUCGGCUCUCGCAUCGAUGAAGAACGUAGCGAAAUGCGAUACUUGGUGUGAAUUGCAGAAUCCCGUGAACCAUCGAGUCUUUGAACGCAAGUUGCGCCCGAGGCCUUCCGGUCGAGGGCACAUCUGCUUGGGCGUUAAACAAC
rnacentral:rRNA from 1 species